AGAAUGUAAUAGAUAUCAUGAAUCACGAUGUUUUAGAUAUUAAAUAGUACCUAUGAUCUAUCACAAACACGAAUCAUGGACAAAGAUAUAUUUUAAAUAAAUAGUAUCGAAUAUCAAUGCAAAUAGUUUAUAACCGACGACGCUACGGGAACAGCUUUUGUAUUACUUCCGCGGCGCUGCCAUCGCCAUCGUUUAUUAACAAAAUAUAAAUAAUAAUCAAAUUUAACACUGGCGUUAGCCACAUCAAGGCCCAAGGGGUUUCCGAGACAUGCCCCGACUAACCCCUUUUACAUUGGGCCGGCCGAAGCGAACCUAACCAUAGGGUGGUAUGUCUUGAUCUGCCGUAAUGCCGUAGUGCCGUGAUUGUCGUCCCUCCCGAUACCUAUACUACAUUACUACCUAUUAUAAAUGAUGAUACAAAUUACAAAAUAGGUACACAAUAAUAUUUAUUGUAAUUUGUAAUUAAUAAGCAUUAACAUAUUACCCACCCAUUCCAUCAAAAAGAACCGGAACUGAAUAUCAAAUAUUUCAAUAUUUGUACUAGUACCCAUACACUAAAAAAUAAUUUAGACAUCGAUCAACGAACUCUAUACAUACUUCGGACUAAGAUACUCUAUCCUAGUCCGUGAUACAUACACACAUAUUGGCUUAUUAUCUUUAACCUACACAAAAUACAAAAUAGUAAAAUACACUACAUAGCUUAUCUUUUUAGUUUUUUUCCCUGUAAUUUUGAUGA